AAAAGAUCCCUUUGUCUGUGUACAACUAUCCAGAUAUCAGGAAGGAGGAUAACAGCCUACACCAGAAGUACUCAACCAGCUAACAUCCAUGUGGUCAGGAGCAGAGAAAGCAGGACUAAUAACUGACAUCAUUUCUGAACAGGCUGGGAGAGCCCCUUGACACCUGCAACCAUCUCACAGUAGAAACUGGCUCAAGUAGGAAAAGGUGACCCGACUGCUCUGACUAUUAUGAAGGCAGAGUCUUUCAGAGCCUGCAUCAAACUGUGAUUUGCACUUCUGUAUCAGUGAGAAAUGAAAUGCUGUUAUUUUCUUGUGUUCAUGGGUUACCCCCUGCCACCAUGAGAGUGCUGGAUGGGGAAGGCAGCCUGACCCAUACAAGACAAGCACUUUUUCUGGUAAGAUUUGGCCGUUUUGCUCUUGGAACUGAAUCCAUGGAAUCUGAUUUCCUCCCAAACACAUCCGAGUGCUUGAACUUUGUGUCCUUUGGCAUAUUCGUGAAUGUCGACUCUUCUCAUGCAGCCAGUGCUUCAGGAGAAGCAGAGUUGGAGCACACGCAAAAGUAUUCAUACUCUGAUCACACCAGGAUAAAUCAAGUGACUUUUCAGCUGGAUCAGCUUUAUUGAUCUAGAUCACUGCUUUGGCUUCACAAAUUGAGACACUAUCACAAAAAAG
rnacentral:lncRNA from 1 species